UGAUAAUUCCCCUCGUCACUGAUUUCUCUGCUUUUCAGCUCAAUGUGCUCGCUUUAGAAACAGGGCUGCCUCUCAAAGCGAUCGCUGGGUGACCGGCGCCCUCUAGUGGUGACUUCGGCAAGGACGCUGGAAGGGAGUUAGAGGUUCAAAGCUGACCACCCAAACCCACAGGAGCCUUCUAGCCCUUUCCUGGUUUUGGAGACAGCGGGACAUAAAGGCCACAGGUAGUGGCUCCAGGGAAUUGUUUAUCUUCGGUGGACUCUCCAAGGUGUUAGUAGAGGACUUGGGAGGGAAAGAGCAUAGCAGCAUGAGCCCCUCCGCCAGCGAGGCAGAUUUAAGUGGCAUAUUUACAUCCUGUCCGCAUGGGAACUUGAUAAACAGCUCCAGCAAAUUGGAUGGGAAUGCAGAGGAAAAGAAGAUCUUCACGAGGAUUUCUACAAUCAGCCUUGGCAUCAGCACCCAGCGGCCUCAUUGGCCCUGUGAUUUUUGCUGCCUUCCUUCAGUUGCUCUACUUGACAGCAAAGACUGCUCACAGCCCAGCUGAAUUCCCUAAACUCUGAUUGUCUAUCAGACCAAAAGAUGACAAAUGAGGUUUUCACGCUCAUUGAUGAGCACAUCACGAAAAUGACAUAAUGGUGUAAUUUUUUUGCCCGAAGACAAGGAACAAGAUGUACUGGAAAUCAUUGUGUUUCAUGUUUUUGUUCCCUUCCCACCUUCAUCUGACCACAGUUGUCACUCAGAACUCUUAGAGAGGAGCAGAAACGGCUGCCGUCCUUUGAGUGGCUGUCUGGGUGUGUGUCCAGGUCAAGGUCACACUUAUCAGUGCCCAGGACAUGCUUUUCGUACUGGGAGGGGUUAUCCCAGGAACAUUUUACAGGCUGUUAACUGACAGCCUUAAAAUUGGAUGUGACACCCUGAAUAACACCUUUUGGGGGAGAAAACUUGACAGACACCCAUCUAGAGAAAUAACGACCUAUUUAUGUCCCACCUAAACAAUACUUGAGCAGUACACGAGUUCUUGAAGAGAAGAGUUUGAAGAACUUUGUGAUACUGCUCUUGAGCCACUUUUGACAAUGAGCCCAAAUGAACUUGUUCAGUUAUUCAGGUUGGAGUUAGUAUCCAGGUGAACAGUUUGGUGUAGGGUUUUGUUUUUUUUAGUCUUAUGAAAAGUCAUUCAGUGUCACCCACUGACCCACUGGCUCAGCCUAGACCCACACACAGGUUCAGCUUGAAAGUCCUGACUUCUGCCCCAUGGGUGGGGCAGGGUUCCCAGAGAGCUGGUGCUUCCAUCAGACAGAUGGCCUGUGAUGAGUCUACAGGGCUUCCAAACUACAACCAGAAAGUUUGCUGUUUUCUCUAAAGGGUGCUUUAUAGAAUUUUAUUUUAAACAAGAUUCUAAAUUCAGGAGGUUAAGCCAAAAAUGGGCAUGAUGGAAAUUACCAUUCAAAUAUGCAUAGUUUUUUCCCCUUUAUUAGUACAGGCCACCAUUUCUUUGGUUUAGUAUAAGCUAACUCAGUGAGCUUGUGUUCUGUUGGCUGCCAUUU
rnacentral:lncRNA from 1 species